AAUAGAUACCCGGGUAGUCCACGCCGUAAACGAUGAGUGCUAGGUGUUGGGGGGGCUACGCCCCUCAGUGCCGAAGGUAACCCAUUAAGCACUCCGCCUGGGGAGUACGGCCGCAAGGCUGAAACUCAAAGGAAUUGACGGGGGCCCGCACAAGCGGUGGAGCAUGUGGUUUAAUUCGAAGCAACGCGAAGAACCUUACCAGGGCUUGACAUCCCGCUGACCCCUCCAGAGAUGGAGGUUUCCUUCGGGACAGCGGUGACAGGUGGUGCAUGGUUGUCGUCAGCUCGUGUCGUGAGAUGUUGGGUUCAGUCCCGCAACGAGCGCAACCCUUGUCGUUAGUUGCCAGCACUUCGGGUGGGCACUCUAACGAGACAGCCGGUGAAAGCCGGAGGAAGGUGGGGAUGACGUCAAAGUCAUCAUGCCCCUUAUGUCCUGGGCUACACACGUGCUACAAUGGCUGGUACAAAGGGCAGCGAACCCGCGAGGGGGAGCCGAAUCCCGAAAAAGCCAGUCUCAGUUCGGAUCGCAGGCUGCAACUCG
rnacentral:rRNA from 1 species